UUUAAACUUUAAAAGGUAUUUUAUUAUCUCUGGCAUUUUCAUCUAUAGUGACAUUUAUAUACACAUACUUAGAGGAGGGUAUGUGCAUGGGAGAUAUAUUCCUUGGAACUUUGGAUAAAAUCCAUUAAUAAAAUCCAUUUUUCCAUCACUAAUUUCAUUUACAACUAAAGCAGCACACAAGUAAAUUUAAGACUUUGCUUUUGAUAAUAAUUUCGUAUCAUUUGAAUGUGAGAAAUUCUUCAGAAUUGUGUUUAGGUUAUAAAUUUCGUACAAUCUCAUUUUGCACUGAGAUUAAACUAUCUGUACAAUGUGAUAACCAUAUAGUUUAAUAGUUAUCGACAAAAUUUAAUGGCAUCAAGAAUACUCUUAAGUCUACCUGGGUUUUUAUUUUUUCACUCUGCACUCUUCUUUUUUCUUCAAAGCAUGAAAGACCCCUGUGCAAAUACAGAGCCUUUGUUUUUCCUUCCCUGUACUUUGGUACAUUGCUUUCCUUAAUAUAGCAGCAUCCUUAGCUUUUGUAGUAUUUUACUUAGUGGCAACUGAAGAAAAUCACUAGC
rnacentral:lncRNA from 1 species